GGAUUCCCCUAGUAACUGCGAGUGAAGCGGGAAAAGCUCAAAUUUAAAAUCUGGUAGUCUCUGGCUGCCCGAGUUGUAAUCUAGAGAAGCAUUAUCCGCGCUGGACCGUGUAUAAGUGUCCUGGAAUGGACCAUCAUAGAGGGUGAGAAUCCCGUCUUUGACACGGACUCCCAGGGCUUUGUGAUGUGCUCUCAAAGAGUCGAGUUGUUUGGGAAUGCAGCUCUAAAUGGGUGGUAAAUUCCAUCUAAAGCUAAAUAUUGGCGAGAGACCGAUAGCGAACAAGUACCGUGAGGGAAAGAUGAAAAGAACUUUGGAAAGAGAGUUAAACAGUACGUGAAAUUGCUGAAAGGGAAACGCUUGAAGUCAGUCGCGUUGGCUGGGGAUCAACCUUGGCUUGGCUUACUUCCCAGUUGACGGGUCAGCAUCAGUUUUGACCGGUGGAUAAAGGCUAGGGGAAUGUGGCACCUACGGGUGUGUUAUAGCCCUUGGUCA
rnacentral:rRNA from 1 species